UACAGAGGCCUCGAGCGUUAGGCGGAAUCACUGGGCUUAAAGGGCGCGUAGGCGGGCUGCCAAGUCCGGGGUGAAAUCUUUCGGCUCAACCGGAAAAUAGCCUUGGAUACUGGUAGUCUGGAGGGUGGUAGGGGCAUGUGGAACUUCCGGUGGAGCGGUGAAAUGCGUUGAUAUCGGAAGGAACGCCGGUGGCGAAAGCGACGUGCUGGACCACUACUGACGCUGAGGCGCGAAAGCCAGGGGAGCAAACGGG
rnacentral:rRNA from 1 species